rnacentral:rRNA from 2 species
UAGGUAGCGCCUCGUGAAUUCAUCUCCGGGGGUAGAGCACUGUUUCGGCUAGGGGGCCAUCCCGGCUUACCAACCCGAUGCAAACUGCGAAUACCGGAGAAUGUUAUCACGGGAGACACACGGCGGGUGCUAACGUCCGUCGUGAAGAGGGAAACAACCCAGACCGCCAGCUAAGGUCCCAAAGUCAUGGUUAAGUGGGAAACGAUGUGGGAAGGCCCAGACAGCCAGGAUGUUGGCUUAGAAGCAGCCAUCAUUUAAAGAAAGCGUAAUAGCUCACUGGUCGAGUCGGCCUGCGCGGAAGAUGUAACGGGGCUAAACCAUGCACCGAAGCUGCGGCAGCGACACUGUGUGUUGUUGGGUAGGGGAGCGUUCUGUAAGCCUGUGAAGGUGUGUCGUGAGGC